rnacentral:rRNA from 1 species
UAGCAUAUCAAUAAGCGGAGGAAAAGAAACCAACAGGGAUUGCCCCAGUAACGGCGAGUGAAGCGGCAACAGCUCAAAUUUGAAAUCUGGCCCCAGGCCCGAGUUGUAAUUUGCAGAGGAUGCUUUUGGCGCGGUGCCUUCCGAGUUCCCUGGAACGGGACGCCAUAGAGGGUGAGAGCCCCGUACGGUUGGACACCAAGUCUUUGUAAAGCUCCUUCGACGAGUCGAGUAGUUUGGGAAUGCUGCUCAAAAUGGGAGGUAUAUUUCUUCUAAAGCUAAAUAUUGGCCAGAGACCGAUAGCGCACAAGUAGAGUGAUCGAAAGAUGAAAAGCACUUUGAAAAGAGGGUUAAACAGCACGUGAAAUUGUUAAAAGGGAAGCGCUUAUGACCAGACUUGCGCCCGGUGAAUCACCCAGCUCUCGCGGCUGGGGCACUUUGCCGGCUCAGGCCAGCAUCAGCUCGCUGUCGGGGACAAAAGCUUCGGGAACGUAGCUCUCUUCGGGGAGUGUUAUAGCCCGUUGCACAAUACCCUUCGGCGGGCUGAGGUACGCGCUCCGCAAGGAUGCUGGCGUAAUGGUCAUCAGCGACCCGUCUUGAAACACGGACCAAGGAGUCAACCUUAUGUGCGAGUGUUUGGGUGUCAAACCCCUACGCGUAAUGAAAGUGAACGCAGGUGAGAGCUUCGGCGCAUCAUCGACCGAUCCUGAUGUUCUCGGAUGGAUUUGAGUAAGAGCAUAUAGGGUUGGACCCGAAAGAAGGUGAACUAUGCGUGUAUAGGGUGAAGCCAGAGGAAACUCUGGUGGAGGCUCGCAGCGGUUCUGACGUGCAAAUCGAUCGUCAAAUAUGCGCAUGGGGGCGAAAGACUAAUCGAACCUUCUAGUAGCUGGUUUCCGCGA